GGCGCGGUGGCAGAGUGGUGAUGCAGCGGACUGCAAAUCCGUAUAUGUGGGUUCGAUUCCCACCCGUGCCU
rnacentral:tRNA from 1 species